CUGGACGCUGCAAAAAUUAUAGCAAGUAGUCGUGACUACAGUCGAAGAUAUAACACAAUAUGCCAGAAAAAUGUGUUCCUGGUUGCAACAGCAACUACAAAUCCAGCAAGGAAGAGGGUUACAUCUCAGUGUUCAGAUUCCCUACUGAUUCCCUAACAGAUUCAUGUCUCUGUGGAAGGCCACUUACUGAUAUCUAUAAAAAGCUGGUUUCCAUUAUGUGUAACAUAUUGUUAAAUAAUUACACCAAACUCCAAAAUGAUCAUUUAAUAUGUUCCAAGAAGGAGGAAGUUAAUAGAAAAUUAAAAACAUUACAUAACUUUUGACACAAAA